CCUACGGGAGGCAGCAGUGAGGAAUAUUGGUCAAUGGACGAGAGUCUGAACCAGCCAAGUAGCGUGAAGGAUGACUGCCCUAUGGGUUGUAAACUUCUUUUAUAAAGGAAUAAAACGAGGCACGUGUGCCUUUUUGCAUGUACUUUAUGAAUAAGGAUCGGCUAACUCCGUGCCAGCAGCCGCGGUAAUACGGAGGAUCCGAGCGUUAUCCGGAUUUAUUGGGUUUAAAGGGAGCGUAGAUGGGUUGUUAAGUCAGUUGUGAAAGUUUGCGGCUCAACCGUAAAAUUGCAAUUGAUACUGGCAGUCUUGAGUACAGUUAAGGUAGGCGGAAUUCGUGGUGUAGCGGUGAAAUGCUUAGAUAUCACGAAGAACCCCGAUUGCGAAGGCAGCUCACUAAACUGUGACUGACAUUGAUGCUCGAAAGUGUGGGUAUCAAACAGGAUUAGAUACCCCUGUAGUC
rnacentral:rRNA from 1 species